rnacentral:rRNA from 1 species
AUGUUUAUAUUGCAGGUGAUGGUCCAACAGAAGAAGGCUGCUCGGUCCUCUAAACAGGAGUCCAGCUCUGAUAGCAGCGAUGAGAGCAGUUCUGAUGACGAACCUGCAAAAAAGCCUGCUGCAGCAUCAAAAAAACCUGCUGCACUUGCUAGCAAUGGUUCAAAAAAUGACAAGUCUGAUAGCUGUUCUGAUGAGCAUGACGACGUGAUGUUCCAACCGAAGAAGGCUGCACAAUCUGCUAAGCAGGAGUCUCACCACUCUGAUAAUAGUGGCGAGAGCAGCUCGGGCAAGGAACUUGCAAAAAAGUCUGCUGCCGCGUCAAAGAAACUUGCUGCACUUGCUAACAAUGCUUCAAAGAGUAUGAAAUUGGAUAGCAGCAGCUCUGAUAUUGGUGAUGGUGCUGAUGAUGGUUCAUCUUCUGGUGCUGCCAAGCCAGCCUCUAAGGUUGCCAAGAAAGAAAGCGGUGAUGAUGAUGACAGUUCUGAAGAGAGCUCGGGCAGUGAUGAGGAAAAUGAUCGACAGGUGUCAGUGGCAAACUCCAAGAAGAAUGAACCAAAAACUGCUGCCAGCAGUAGUCAUCAAGCUACUACUAGGUCAAGGACCCUUAUUGUUGCGAAUCUGUCAUACAGUGUCAAGAAUGAACAAGUGAAGCAAUUUUUUGAGGAGGCGGGUGAGGUUAUUGAUAUUCGUUUUGCUACCUCUGAUGAUGGGAGCUUCAAGGGUUCCACACAUGUUGAAUUUGCUACAACUGAAGCUGCUGAAAAGGCAUACAAAUUGAAUGGGCGUGAUUUGGCGGGGAGGCCUGUCAGGCUUGAUUUUGCUUGUGAGCGAGGCACGAUUACUCCUGGCAGCAGGAGGGACAAUAGUUCUUUCAAGAAGCCUGGUCAAAGCUCUAGCUAUGCUGCCUUUAUCAGAGGAUUUGAUUCAUCUCUUGGGGAGGAUGAGAACCGAAGGUCACUUCAACAGCAUCUAAGCUCAUGUGGAGAGAUUACAAGAGUUUCAAUCGCAAAGGAUUAUGAUACUUGCGCAAGCAAAGGGAUAGCGGACAUGGAAUUUAUUGACAAGAGUUCUUUGCCCAAAGCGCUCGAGCUGACCGGAUCUGACCUUGGAGGCUGCAGCUUGUCGGUUGAUGAAGCCAAGCCUAGUCCAGAUAACAGAGAUGGUGCCGAUAGUGACAGGGGCUGCGGUCAGAGUGGUGCACCUCCCAGGCAGAGUGCUGGCACACUUAGUGCAGAGUGCUGGCACACCUAG